GACGAACGCUGGCGGCGUGCUUAACACAUGCAAGUCGAACGGAAAGGCCCUGCUUUUGUGGGGUGCUCGAGUGGCGAACGGGUGAGUAACACGUGAGUAACCUGCCCUUGUCUUUGGGAUAACUUCAGGAAACUGGGGCUAAUACCGGAUAGGAGCUCCUGCUGCAUGGUGGGGGUUGGAAAGUUUCGGCGGUUGGGGAUGGACUCGCGGCUUAUCAGCUUGUUGGUGGGGUAGUGGCUUACCAAGGCUUUGACGGGUAGCCGGCCUGAGAGGGUGACCGGCCACAUUGGGACUGAGAUACGGCCCAGACGCCUACGGGAGGCAGCAGGGGGGAAUAUUGCACAGUGGGCGGGAGCCUGAUGCAGCAACGCCGCGUGCGGGAUGACGGCCUUCGGGUUGUAAACCGCUUUCGCCUGUGACGAAGCGUGAGUGACGGUAAUGGGUAAAGAAGCACCGGCUAACUACGUG
rnacentral:rRNA from 1 species